rnacentral:ncRNA from 1 species
UUCUUAUCCAGAGAGACGGAGGGACUGGCCCGACGAUGUCUCAGCAACCAGCUGCUUCUAGCAAGGUGCUAAUUCCAGAAGGGAACUCCCCUUUAAAGAUAAGAU